rnacentral:rRNA from 1 species
GACGAACGCUGGCGGCAUGCCUUACACAUGCAAGUCGAACGGCAGCACGGGUGCUUGCACCUGGUGGCGAGUGGCGAACGGGUGAGUAAUAUAUCGGAACGUACCUUAUUGUGGAGGAUAACGCAGCGAAAGCUGUGCUAAUACCGCAUAAUCCCUAAGGGGGAAAGCGGGGGACCGUAAGGCCUCGCGCAAUUAGAACGGCCGAUACCUGAUUAGCUAGUUGGUGAGGUAAAGGCUCACCAAGGCAACGAUCAGUAGCUGGUCUGAGAGGACGAUCAGCCACACUGGGACUGAGACACGGCCCAGACUCCUACGGGAGGCAGCAGUGGGGAAUUUUGGACAAUGGGGGCAACCCUGAUCCAGCAAUGCCGCGUGAGUGAAGAAGGCCUUCGGGUUGUAAAGCUCUUUUGUCAGGGAAGAAACAGCAGCUCUAACACAGUAUGCGAAUGACGGUACCUGAAGAAUAAGCACCGGCUAACUACGUGCCAGCCGCCGCAGUAA